CGCUGGCGGCGUGCCUAACACAUGCAAGUCGAACGGACGAGGGGAGCUUGCUCCCCAAGUUAGUGGCGGACGGGUGAGUAACACGUGAGCAACCUGCCCUUCGGAGGGGGACAACAGCGGGAAACUGCUGCUAAUACCGCAUAACGUAUUCUGGAGGCAUCUCCGGGAUACCAAAGAUUUUAUCGCCGAAGGAUGGGCUCGCGUCUGAUUAGAUAGUUGGUGGGGCAACGGCCCACCAAGUCUGCGAUCAGUAGCCGGACUGAGAGGUUGAACGGCCACAUUGGGACUGAGAUACGGCCCAGACUCCUACGGGAGGCAGCAGUGGGGAAUAUUGGGCAAUUGGGGGGCAACCCUGACCCAGCAACGCCGCGUGGAGGAAGAAGGCUUUCGGGUUGUAAACUCCUUUGACGAGGGACGAUGAUGACGGUACCUCGAAAACAAGCCACGGCUAACUACGUGCCAGCCGCUGC
rnacentral:rRNA from 1 species